UCAUAUUUAGUGAUUCCCCCUUACUUCCUGCCCCAUAAUUUCAACAUUUCUUUUUUAUGAUUCGUGCUUCGUACUCCAUUAUUACAGUGUCAUCCAUGUAAUUAGGCAGAAGCCGUCAAGCCGCGGUCACUGAGAGAUAACCGAAUAGAAGGCUCGAAUUCGCCGUCGUCUUCCGGCUUUGUUCCUGCCGUCACUACAUUUGACGCCGGCCCAUCCUUUGCUACUGUGCCAGACCCUUCUGUACCCAACGAACGAGACAAGCCUUUAAUGAACAGAUAAGCUCCAAACGCGAUGUGAAAUCAUGCGCACGGCAUUUCAGCUAGCUUGAAACUGUAAUGGAUAUUCACAUCAUAUGUACAGCAAACAAAAACUUUCCCCUUGCAUCCACAGAGCACGAAACUUUGUAUUAUACAAGUCGGGACAGCGUUGCGUCUAGUAAAACCAUCAGGACUUGAUGCACAACGGGUAAGCAACAUUACAGGAAAAGCUAACUUAUACCGUAUACAGAUAAUUAUGUUUGGGAUUUCAAGGCUUUCACGGCUGUGAGUAUGAAGAUUUCUGUCUUCCGGGUUGUUGCGCCGUGUAGUCUGGGAGAAGUUUCCCGACGUUUCAGAUAAGCUUCCUGUCUCCAUCAUCAGAAGACUGCCAUAUUCGGAAAGAUAGCAACUACUUUGCAACAGGUCACGACCAUUUCCUUCCCUGUCCCUUUUAGGUCAACCGAAUACAAACGAACCUCAUAACAUUCGACGUUAAAUAACAGAUGUUGUUGGCACAGCAUUCAGCUUUAUUAAAUAAACAACAAUACAUCCACACGA